AAAAUCCGUCGACUUUAGAAAUCGUGAGGGUUCAAGUCCCUCUAUCCCCCCAAAAAGACCGAUUUGACUAUUUCUCCUACCCUCUCUUUUUUUUAGUGAUUCAAAAUUCGUUCUCUUUCUCAUUCAUUCUACCUUUUUACAAACGUAUCAGAGCAGAAUUUUUUUUUUAUCACAAUCACAAGUGGUGUGGUAUAUAUGAUAUACGUACAAAUGAACAUCUUUGAACAAAGAAUCCCGAUUCACAAUUCAUAUCAUUGCUCAUACUGAAACUUAUAAAUUAUUCUAUUCAAGAAAUCGAAUUCCACGCUCAAGACUUUUAAUACUUUUUUAAUUGACAUAGACCCCAGUCAUCUAGUAAAAUGAGGAUGAUGCGCCGGUAAUGGUCGGGAUAGCUCAGCUGGUAGAGCAGAGGACUGAAAAUCCUC
rnacentral:tRNA from 1 species